rnacentral:lncRNA from 1 species
UUGGUGAAGGAAGUGUCUUAAAAGGAAACUAAACUUCCAGUUACUAGAUAAGUAUCACAUCACUUUUCAACUCACUGCAAUACAUACAUUCUUUCUAGUUUAAUCCCAAUCAUGGCUGAAAUGGACAUCUCCAGAAACCUUCUUUCUUCCAGGAGAGCUCUCUUGAAGGCAACCUUAGAGAAUUCAAGAGCUAUUGCUUCAGCAUUGCAUCAAACCGGCCAAAAACUGGAUCGUAUCGCCCAGAGCUUACCGCGUUUGGAAGCUGCAGCUAGGCCUUUCCCAGCUCAGAAAUGCACAUUCGCAGCAAUCACAGACCACGUCGAUCGAGCAGUUGGCCCUGCAGCAGCUGUUCUGAAAGUCCACGGUACGAUUCAGGAGCUUCAGAAGUCGGUCUCUGUAGAUCCUAGCCCUGGUGAUCUUUAUUCCUAUCUUUCUUCCCUGAAGAAGCUUGAGGAAGCACUUAAGUUUCUAGCCAACAACUGUGGACUAGCAAUUCAGUGGCUGCAGGAUAUUCUGCAGUUUCUGAAGGACAACUCGGUUGCGAACGAGCCUUACAUUUGCAAUGUCGAGAAGUCUUUGAGAAUUCUGCUGGAGCUGGAAGCGACUGAGAAACGUGCUCGAGUCGAUGGCGGUGUUCUUUUUGGUGCAUUUAGGAAGCUCGAGAUGGAAUACAGACAGCUUGUUGUUGCAAACUCUGUUCCUGUUCCUUUGGCUAUUUGUUCAUUCACUGCUUCGAAAGCCAUCCCUAUCGAUGUCGUAGAAAAACUUCAGGCCAUCACGGAGAGACUGAGAGCUAACAACAAGUUAUCAUGGUGUACAUCAGCAUAUGUCGAGGCCCGGGUUGCAAAUGCCAAGAGAAGUUUACAAGGGAUUGAACUGAAUUACCUAGGUAAGCCGAUAAUUGGGUCUGAUGAUGUGGAAGAAGUAGAGGGCUGGAUUGACCAAUGGUCCAAGCACUUGGAGUUGAUUGUAAAGAACAUCUUUGAGGUUGAAUUCAACCUUAGCAAAGAUGUCUUCUGCACUAUUCCGGAUGUCUCUAUCGGUUGCUUUGCAGAGAUCGCCACCCGGUCUGGAAUAUUGUCAUUCCUUCAGUUUGGAAGAAAAGUGACAGAGUGCAAGAAGGAUGCUAUCAAGCUCUUGAGGCUACUCGACAUCUUCACAGCUCUGGAUAAUCUCAGAGGCAAUUUCAACAGACUUUUCGUAGGGACAUCUUGCCUCGGC